GUUUCUACACCUCUGAUGAACUUUGGAUAUAUUAACAUUAGGGGUGUGUGAGACCGGCGGUUAUAGUUGAACACCGUCAUUAGAACUCUAUAACCGCCAAAACCGUGUCAUUAAAAUAUUUUUUACAAACAUUUUUUAUCAAAAAUUAUUUUCAUUUUUUAGAUAGGAUCAUAAGAUGCGCAAUAUAUCGGGAGACUUUUACCACUUAAUGAAGUUUUGCUUUGUAGAAAACCUUUCUUAAAAACGAAUUUCGUUUUGUACAAAUUUUAUCUUAAUUUUAAUAAAUGUUUCAUCAACCAAUUGCAUGUAUUUUAAUAAAUAAAAAGCAAAUAUAGCAGACAAUGAUAACCGUGACAUGGAAGCACCAGUGCGCCGCGUUCACUUGCACUGCACUGUGACCUAGAGCACAUCUCAUCGUAAAUGAAACUCAGCGUAGACCUAUGCAUCAUUAGCAUUAAAUAUCUUUGCUGCAUCCUUUCUAGAACAGACAAUGGCUUUUUUUGCGGCUCGCAUCAGCAAAGCAUUGCAUCGUCCAUAGACCGCAAAACAAUCAGCGGAUGGCGGGCGGGUGCGGCUUUGAAAUUUGCUCAAAAACGUUGGUGCAGAUGAUGAGUUUUGUGACCGAUCUCAACAACACCUCUAACUGAAAUAGGUUAUCUGAGGUUAUCUGAAAUUGCUGUAGCUUGACUUUAAUUAUCUAAAUUAAUCUCUGUCCGUGUUGUUUUUUUAGAUACAAAUGGAGUGUAGAACAGAAAUAAUGUGCACAAAAAACAUCAGAAACAUCAGACAGACAAACACCAACAGCACAGAGAGAGAAAUGGAAGACAGAAGUGAGACACAGACGCCUGGAUCACACGAGAGAAACAGACAGAAACCCUUGAGAUGUGAGAGUAUGGAGAAACUAAAACCAAGCUUCUCAUGUGAUCCAGACGGGCCUGUGAAGUUUCACUCAGAUGUUCUGAACACAAGAUCAGUGAUGUCCGGAUACCAGCAGCAGAAGACCAGAGCAUCAUCAUCAUCAUCAUCAUCUGGACUACAGUCUGUUGAGCUACUGGAUUCUCAGCUUUUACACACUCAUCUGAGCACAAGCAAACACACUACUAAACCGAUUCUUUCUCAGAUCUGUGUCUCAAUACUGCAGUGAUGUUUUCAGUAUAUAUUACUCAUGGAAACACUCUGGACAGACGGCUGGUCCUUCACACAGCACACAGUCACACAAACAAACAAUGACUUCAGAUCACUGGACAAACAUGUCUUUGUAUUGUGUGUCCCCUGGUGCCUUUACAUUUGACUAAAUCUGUAUUGGUUUGUAUGGCAGCAAUGUUGCACUGGUGUUCAUACACUACAAACAAUAACAGCAAUACAGUUUAUAAUACAGAUAUUAUCUAACAACAUGGAAACAUGUUCCUGUUACUCUAGAUCACACUAAAUAUUGAGAAAAUCAUCUUUAAAGUUGUUCAAACUAAGUUCUUAGCAAUGCAUAUUACUAAUUAAAAAUUUACAUUAAGUUUUGAUGUAUUUACAGUAGCAAAUGUACAAAAUAUCUUCAUUGAACAUGAUCUUUACUUAAUAUCCUAAUGAUUUUUGGCAUUAAAGAAAAAUUAAUAAUUUUAACCCAUACAAUGUGUUUUUGGCUACUGCUACAAAUAUCCCUGUGAUACCGAUGACUGCUUCUGUGCUGCAGGAUGAUUUAUGCUUUCUAUGAGUUUGACAUGAAAAACAAUUACACUGGAGAAGAAUUAUCACAGUUUUUGAAAUCAAAAUAGCUAGCACAAAAGUCUAAGCACUUUUAAACAAAGAAAACAAACAGCAUAACGUUACACAAAUGUUAUACUUCCAUCUACCCGAACGUCAGAAAGUAUAUUUAUACACCUAUGUAUUAACAUCUUAACAUGAAUAGAUACAUUGUAGAGCUCCCCCUGCUGGACACAUCAGGAACAUCAGCGCAGUGCAUUAUUGUCCAAGUACUCCUUUGUUUUUCUUUUUUCUUGCAGCUUUAAUUUUUAUGGAAUUA
ensembl:lncRNA